AGCUUGACACUGAACAUUGAGCCUUGAUGUGUAGGAUAGGUGGGAGGCUUUGAAGCGUGGACGCCAGUCUGCGUGGAGCCAACCUUGAAAUACCACCCUUUAAUGUUUGAUGUUCUAACGUAGACCCCUAAUCGGGGUUGCGGACAGUGUCUGGUGGGUAGUUUGACUGGGGCGGUCUCCUCCCAAAGAGUAACGGAGGAGCACGAAGGUUAGCUAAUCCUGGUCGGACAUCAGGAGGUUAGUGCAAUGGCAUAAGCUAGC
rnacentral:rRNA from 1 species